GAUGAUUCUAUGAAGUUUUGUAAUAAUUCUGCUUUAUAAAGGUCUUUCAGAUGUCUUGUUUCCCAUUUUUUCAUAUGCAGGCUCUCUGCUCAACCCAUCGAGAGAGAGGAAAGAAUUUUCCUCUUAGGUGUCAUCCCCAACGUUUACAGUGUGUCCAAAGGUGUCUCCAGGUUUCUUAUCUGAACCACAGAGGGAGCCUUGGUUCUCCACAGAGAAGAUUCAAAGAAGUUGAAGCACCAGUGUGCUGAGUUGCCUGAGAGGAGGAGGAGGAGGGAUUGUGUGGCUCUUCCACUGCACAGAAAAGGAGCCUGAAAACUGAUUACUGUGAGCAUCCUCAAGUGUUUCACUGGCCCCUGCUGAUGUUUAAAUAUCUGAGCAUCUUUGAGAAUAUCUGGAACUUGGGUGCCUUCCUGAUACCUCUCAGAGAACGGACUCCAUUCUGUUGGAGAUCCCAUCUCGGGCAGUCUGACAGCGAUUAUGGAGCAGCAGCAUUAUUGCUGUGGGGAGUGCUGAUGAUCUUGGUUUUACUCAUUUCCCCGUGGGAGGACUUGCCUGCUUCUGAGUGCAGCCUUAAUUACAAAGGUGAGUGUUAAAAAUUAACUGUCAGCAGGUAAAGCAGUGGAAAAGU
rnacentral:lncRNA from 1 species